UGCCAGCCGCCGCGGUAACACCAGCGCCACAAGUGGGAACCACUAUUAUUGGGCCUAAAGCGUUCGUAGCCGGCUUAGUAAAUCUUUUGUGAAAUCGCUAUGCUCAACAUAACGGCGUGCAGAAGACACUGCUAAGCUUGGGACCGGGAGAGGUGCGGAGUAUUCGAUGGGGAGCGGUAAAAUGCUAUAAUCCAUCGAGGACUACCUGUGGCGAAGGCGCCGCACUAGAACGGGUCCGACGGUGAGGGACGAAAGCCAGGGGAGCGAAAAGGAUUAGAUA
rnacentral:rRNA from 1 species